GACGAACGCUGGCGGCGUGCUUAACACAUGCAAGUCGAACGGUGAAGCUCCAGCUUGCUGGAGUGGAUCAGUGGCGAACGGGUAAGUAACACGUGAGCAACCUGCCCCUGACUCUGGAAUAAGCGCUGGAAACGGCGUCUAAUACUGGAUACGAGAAGGGUCCGCAUGGGCACUUUCUGGAAAGUUUUUCGGUUGGGGAUGGGCUCGCGGCCUAUCAGCUUGUUGGUGAGGUAAUGGCUCACCAAGGCGACGACGGGUAGCCGGCCUGAGAGGGCGACCGGCCACACUGGGACUGAGACACGGCCCAGACUCCUACGGGAGGCAGCAGUGGGGAAUAUUGCACAAUGGGCGAAAGCCUGAUGCAGCGACGCCGCGUGAGGGAUGACGGCCUUCGGGUUGUAAACCUCUUUCAGCAGGGAAGAAGCGAAAGUGACGGUACCUGCAGAAGAAGCACCGGCUAACUACGUG
rnacentral:rRNA from 1 species